UACGUAGGAGACAAGCGUUAUCCGGAGUUACUGGGCGUAAAGGGCGUGUAGGUGGUAUCGUAAGUCUGGCGUGAAAUUUCUCGGCUUAACCGAGGCAGGUCGUCGGAUACUGCGAGGCUAGAGGACGGUAGAGGCGUGUGGAAUUCCGGGUUUAGUGGUGAAAUGCGUAGAGAUCGGGAGGAACACCGGUGGCGAAGGCGGGUCUCUGGGCAAUUCCUGACGCUGAGGCGCGAAAGCGUGGGGAGCAAACGGG
rnacentral:rRNA from 1 species